rnacentral:rRNA from 1 species
GACGAACGCUGGCGGCGUGCCCAAUACAUGCAAGUCGAACGCACUCUCGUUUAGAUUGAAGGAGCUUGCUCCUGAUUGAUAAACAUUUGAGUGAGUGGCGGACGGGUGAGUAACACGUGGGUAACCUGCCCUAAAGUGGGGGAUAACAUUUGGAAACAGAUGCUAAUACCGCAUAAAACCUAACACCGCAUGGUGUAGGGUUGAAAGAUGGUUUCGGCUAUCACUUUAGGAUGGACCCGCGGUGCAUUAGUUAGUUGGUGAGGUAAAGGCUCACCAAGACCGUGAUGCAUAGCCGACCUGAGAGGGUAAUCGGCCACACUGGGACUGAGACACGGCCCAGACUCCUACGGGAGGCAGCAGUAGGGAAUCUUCCACAAUGGACGAAAGUCUGAUGGAGCAACGCCGCGUGAGUGAAGAAGGUUUUCGGAUCGUAAAACUCUGUUGUUGGAGAAGAAUGUAUCUGAUAGUAACUGAUCAGGUAGUGACGGUAUCCAACCAGAAAGCC